rnacentral:rRNA from 1 species
CAGUAGCCGCGGUAAUACAGAGGGUGCGAGCGUUAAUCGGAUUUACUGGGCGUAAAGCGUGCGUAGGCGGCUUCUUAAGUCGGAUGUGAAAUCCCUGAGCUUAACUUAGGAAUUGCAUUCGAUACUGGGAAGCUAGAGUAUUGGAGAGGAUGGUAGAAUUCCAGGUGUAGCGGUGAAAUGCGUAGAGAUCUGGAGGAAUACCGAUGGCGAAGGCAGCCAUCUGGCCUAAUACUGACGCUGAGGUACGAAAGCAUGGGGAGCAAACAGGAUUAGAUACCCCCGUAGUCCCUGUCUCUUAUAC